GGCUGAGGUGCGGCCGGGCCGAGCGACACAGCUGUCCCUGAAGAACCAGAGCCAGCCAGCUCAUCACCCACGAUUUCACUUCUUUCAUGCUAAUGAGGAGGGUAGCAGAGAGCAACCCUGAUUUGGUGCAAAUUAGAAAUACUGAAACACAAC